rnacentral:rRNA from 1 species
CGGGUUCCGGGGGGAGUAUGGUCGCAAGGCCGAAACUUAAGGAAUUGACGAAGGGCACCACCAGGAGUGGAAUCUGCGGCUUAAUUUGACCCAACGCGGGAAAACUCACCAGGUCAGGACACGGUAAGGAUUGACGGACUGAAGGCUCUUUCUCGAUUCCGUGGAAAGUGGUGCAUGGCCGUUUUUGGUUGGUGGAUCGAUCCGUCUGGUUAAUUCCGUUAACGAACGAGACCUCGGCACUCCGAAUAGCGCGGCGGACGUCGCGGCCUCCGGGCCGUCUUCCGCACGAGCUUCUUAGAGGGACCGUCCCCCGCCGGGGAAGGAGGUGCGAGGCAACGACAGGUCUGUGAUGCCCUUAGAUGUUCUGGGCCGCACGCGCAUUACACUGACGCGUCCAACGGGUGACUCCCGACCCGAAGGGGCCGGGGAAUCCGCAAGGCGCGUCGUGAUGGGGAUUGAACGUUGCAAUUGUUGUUCACGAACGAGGAAUUCCUAGUAGGCGCGGGUCAUCAACCCGCGCCGAUUACGUCCCUGCCC